rnacentral:rRNA from 1 species
GACGAACGCUGGCGGUGUGCUUAACACAUGCAAGUCGAACGGUAAGGCCCUUUCGGGGGUACACGAGUGGCGAACGGGUGAGUAACACGUGAGUAACCUGCCCUCAUCUCUGGGAUAACAGUCGGAAACGGUUGCUAAUACUGGAUAUGAGCUUGCAAGGCAUCUUGUGGGUUGGAAAGAUUUUUUUUGGUUGGGGAUGGACUCGCGGCCUAUCAGCUUGUUGGUGAGGUAGUGGCUCACCAAGGCUUCGACGGGUAGCCGGCCUGAGAGGGCGACCGGCCACAUUGGGACUGUGAUACGGCCCAAACUCCCACGGGAGGCAGCAGUGGGGAAUAUUGCACAAUGGACGGAAGUCCGAUGCAGCAACGCCGCGUGCGGGAUGACGGCCUUCGGGUUGUAAACCGCUUUCAAUUGUGACGAAGCUUUUUUGUGACGGUAGCAGUAGAAGAAGCACCGGCUAACUACGUG